AACUUACUCCCUCUGUUCCGAAUUACUCGUCGCAGAAAUGAAUGUAUCUAGAUGUAUUUUAGUUCUAGAUACAUCCAUUUCUGCGACGAGUAAUUUGGAACGGAGGGAGUACUUC
rfam:Triticum aestivum genome assembly, contig: Triticum_aestivum_CS42_TGACv1_scaffold_093800_2AL